rnacentral:misc_RNA from 1 species
GAUGAAGAACGCAGCGAAAUGCGAUAAGUAAUGUGAAUUGCAGAAUUCAGUGAAUCAUCGAAUCUUUGAACGCACAUUGCGCCCCCUGGUAUUCCGGGGGGCAUGCCUGUCCGAGCGUCAUUACAACCCUCAAGCUCAGCUUGGUGUUGGGCCCCGCCGCCCCGGCGGGCCCUAAAGUCAGUGGCGGUGCCGUCCGGCUCCGAGCGUAGUAAUUCUUCUCGCUCUGGAGGUCCGGUCGGGUGCUCGCCAGCAACCCCCAAUUUUUUUCAGGUUGACCUCGGAUCAGGUAGGGAUACCCGCUGAACUUAAGCAUAUCAAUAAGCGGAGGA